rnacentral:rRNA from 1 species
AUACGUAGGUGACAAGCGUUAUCCGGAUUUACUGGGCGUAAAGGGCGUGUAGGCGGUCUUGCAAGUCAGAAGUGAAAUUCCUGAGCUCAACUCGGGCGCUGCUUCUGAUACUGCAGGACUUGAGUGCUGGAGAGGAUAGCGGAAUUCCUAGUGGAGCGGUGAAAUGCGCAGAUAUUAGGAAGAACACCGGUGGGGAAGGCGGCUAUCUGGACAGAAACUGACGCUGGAGCGCGAAAGCGUGGGGAGCAAACAGGAUUAAAUACCCUGGUAGUCCACGCCGUAAACGAUGAAUUCUAGGUGUAGGGGGUAUCGACUCCCUCUGUGCCGCAGUUAACACAAUAAGUAUUCCGCCUGGGGAGUACGGCCGCAAGGUUGAAACUCAAAUGAAUUGGCGGGG